rnacentral:lncRNA from 1 species
GGGACUCUCACCCAGGGAGUACGAGGUCAUGGUGCGGGACUUCCUCAAUACGGAAUUGUGUUUUGCGACUCGAGAGCAGAUUUCCUCCCUCUAUCAACUCCUUUUUUAUGGUCGGGAGGAUCCACAAUUCUUCAUUGAUCCACAAGACCUGGAUUCCAUACUGAGGGUGCACCUUGAACCCUUAGAAUUCAAUCACCCUGCUCUAUGCCAAGUCUUAGAAAGUCUAUGUGUCGAGAGGCAUGAUUCCCCUUUUUAUCAAGAUCUAAAAGGAACUCAACUCUCAUCCAGGGAGUACGAUGUCAUGGUGCGGGACUUCCUCAAUAUGGAAUUGUGUUUUGCGAUUCUAGAGUAGAUUUCCUCCCUCUAUCAACUCCUUUUUUAUGGUCGGGAGGAUCCACAAUUCUUCAUUGAUCCACAAGACCUGGAUUCCAUACUGAGGGUGCACCUUGAACCCUUAGAAUUCAAUCACCCUGCUCUAUGCCAAGUCUUAGAAAGUCUAUGUGUCGAGAGGCAUGAUUCCCCUUUUUAUCAAGAUCUAAAAGGAACUCAAGCGCAUCAUUUUCGUGGCUUUAGAAACUUAAAGCACCAAGCGCGAUUGGAAAUGCAACAUCGCCUAGAGUUACGAGAGUUAUGGAAAUCUCUUGAGAGAAGGAACGCUUUUCUAAGCGAGGAAAACGCCU